CCUACGGGGGGCAGCAGUGAGGAAUAUUGGUCAAUGGACGCAAGUCUGAACCAGCCAUGCCGCGUGCAGGAAGACGGCUCUAUGAGUUGUAAACUGCUUUUGUACGAGGGUAAACGCAGAUACGCGUAUCUGUCUGAAAGUACCGUACGAAUAAGGAUCGGCUAACUCCGUGCCAGCAGCCGCGGUAAUACGGAGGAUUCAAGCGUUAUCCGGAUUUAUUGGGUUUAAAGGGUGCGUAGGCGGUCUGAUAAGUUAAGGGUGAAAUCAUGAGGGUCAACUUCGAAAUUGCCUCUAAUACUGUAGGGCUAGAGAGUAGUUGCGGUAGGCGGAAUGUAUGAAGUAGCGGUGAAAUGCAUAGAGAUCAUACAGAACACCGAUAGCGAAGGCAGCUUACCAGGCUACUUCUGACGUUGAGGCACGAGAGCGUGGGUAGCGAACAGGAUUAGAUACCCGGGUAGUC
rnacentral:rRNA from 1 species